rnacentral:rRNA from 1 species
GUGAACGCUGGCGGUAGGCCUAGCACAUGCAAGUCGAACGGCAGCACAGUAAGAGCUUGCUCUUACGGGUGGCGAGUGGCGGACGGGUGAGGAAUACAUCGGAAUCUACUUUUUCGUGGGGGAUAACGUAGGGAAACUUACGCUAAUACCGCAUACGACCUACGGGUGAAAGCAGGGGAUCUUCGGACCUUGCGCGAUUGAAUGAGCCGAUGUCGGAUUAGCUAGUUGGCGGGGUAAAGGCCCACCAAGGCGACGAUCCGUAGCUGGUCUGAGAGGAUGAUCAGCCACACUGGAACUGAGACACGGUCCAGACUCCUACGGGAGGCAGCAGUGGGGAAUAUUGGACAAUGGGCGCAAGCCUGAUCCAGCCAUACCGCGUGGGUGAAGAAGGCCUUCGGGUUGUAAAGCCCUUUUGUUGGGAAAGAAAAGCAGCAGGUUAAUACCCCGCUGUUCUGACGGUACCCAAAGAAUAAGCACCGGCUAACUUCGU